AGAACGAACGCUGGCGGCAUGCCUAAUACAUGCAAGUCGAACGAACUCUUCGGAGUUAGUGGCGCACGGGUGCGUAACGCGUGGGAAUCUGCCCCUUGGUUCGGAAUAACAGUUGGAAACGACUGCUAAAUACCGGAUGAUGACGAAAGUCCAAAGAUUUAUCGCCAAGGGAUGAGCCCGCGUAGGAUUAGCUAGUUGGUGAGGUAAAGGCUCACCAAGGCAACGAUCCUUAGCUGGUCUGAGAGGAUGAUCAGCACACUGGACUGAGACACGGCCAGACUCCUACGGGAGGCAGCAGGUGGGGAAUUUUGGAACGAACGUAGGGACGAAACGG
rnacentral:rRNA from 1 species